rnacentral:rRNA from 1 species
UACAGAGGGUGCGAGCGUUGUCCGGAAUCACUGGGCGUAAAGGGCGCGUAGGUGGCGCCGCAAGUCCAUGGUGAAAGCUCGAUGCUCAACAUCGAGUCGGCCACGGAGACUGCGGGGCUCGAGCACUGUAGGGGCAGAUGGAAUUCCGGGUGUAGCGGUGGAAUGCGUAGAGAUCCGGAAGAACACCAGUGGCGAAGGCGGCUUUCUGGACUGUAACUGACGCUGAGGCAUGAAAGCGUGGGGAGCAAACAGG